rnacentral:lncRNA from 1 species
UUUAACUUAAGUGGGUUCAUGUCUGUUAACUUCCAGUAGAGGGCACGCUUUUCCCAUGAUAGAACUAGUGGAGGAUCUGUUUUAACAUUCGUUUAAAAGCAACUUUGGAACACCUCUUAAAAUUAAUUCUCUUUAAAACUUGUAUUUAGUAUUUAUUGGCAUCAGUUAUGAUUGACUUAUGCUCAAUAACUUUUGUCAAGGAUUUUUUCACAAGUCUUUUUUUACCUUUUUAUUUGUGGCACGUACUGAGAAAAUAUUACUUUACAAGUAAUGGUAAUAGAAGUUUAUAAUCAUCGAAAGCAAAUUGUCAUGUAGUUAAAAGUCUACUAAGUUAAAUUUUGCCUUUUAGCAUGUGCACAGAGUCUUAGUAGACUUCUCUUUCUGUGGAUGUAUUGUCCCUAUUCAAACUAAUCUCUUUAAAAAUUAAAACAAAAUGGGGGCUUUUCAGCUUUCCCAGGCCAGUGGUAUUAUUAUUGCAUCACUUUUUCUAGAUUUAUAAUUGAAGAAUAAUGUUUGGUUCCUUAGAAGUCACCUGGGUUAUUUCAUAUCUUUGGUUUUUUCUUCAAAAUAUCCCUUUCUGUCCUUGAUCAUGACUGUAAACCAGCCAGCUUUUUCAUUAUCUCCCACCUGUAAGUAGUCUUGCUUCUCAGCUCCAUAUAUUUCAUGCACUGUUGCCAGUUAAUUUUCCUGAAAUAUUCCUUUAAUAAUUUCUGAUUUUCAUCUGUUACAUUAAUUGGGCUCUACGAUCUAGUUCAUUUUGGGUAUUGUAGUUCUGACACUGUUGUCUCUAGCAGAGGGAGUUUUAUCUAAGAGCAGAUCAUCUC